rnacentral:rRNA from 1 species
ACUGCAUGAAGCUGGAAUCGCUAGUAAUCGCGAAUCAGCAUGUCGCGGUGAAUACGUUCCCGGGUCUUGUACACACCGCCCGUCACACCAUGGGAGUCGGAAAUGCCCGAAGCCAGUGACCCAACCUUUAAGGAGGGAGCUGUCGAAGGCAGGUCUGGUAACUGGGGUGAAGUCGUAACAAGGUACC